AUCUGUGUGACUCGGCCCUCUUUGGGUCACAAAGGCCAGAUGAUCCAGCAGCUACCUGGAGGGUGGUUUAUGACAGCAGCCUGGUCCUAGUUCCCUUCUGCCACCAACAAGCUUGGCCAGCUUAGGCAGGAAUUCAACCAGAGGCUCAGCUGGGCAAUUCUAUUUCAGAUGGAGUCUACAGAGGUCACACAGUAGGAUUCAGCUGACAGAUAGACACAGAGGGUACGAUAUGGCUUUGCCCACAUGUAUGAUGCCUUGGUGGGAAUGGCUGGAAGACUGGACUCAGCUGGGAAUGGUAACGGGAGCCCCUACACGUGGCCUUUCCAGCAUGGUGGCCUCAGGUUGCUGGGCUUCUUCCAUGAUGGCUGGGGCUCCCAGAGUAAGUGCUGCAAGAAGCUGAGUGGAAGCUGCAGGGCUUCUUAUAACCUGGCCUUGAAAAUCCCAGAAUUUCACUUCUUUCAUAUUCUGUUGGUCCAGGAAGUCAUUAAGACCAGCGCAGGUUUAGAGGGAAUAAAACUAGACUCCACCUCUCAA